rnacentral:lncRNA from 1 species
GUUGACAUGGUGGGGAUAUCGCAUGUCGAUCGUCCUUCUCAUGGUGGCGAAAAUUGGAAGCUCCGUCCCACAAAUUAGCGUUGCCAGAGUUCGUACAAUUGUACCAAUUUGAAACAAAUAACAACCAAACUUGUGAUACUAAAGUAUCUAAAGUAAAAAUCUAAAAUUUUGUGAUAUAAGAAAUUUGCUUCAAAUAACAUUAAAUGACGUUUUUUUAAGUUUUUGUACAAAAUGUGUUGGUUUAGUACAUUUUGUGUCAAUAUUCCAGUGCAUGAGUGAAUUUAUAAAAAUUUCUCUGGCAACACCGUCACCUGCCGUGUACCGUGUACUGCUGGCUUCUGGCUUAUCAAAAUAUUCCGUUAAUUUUUUUAAAAUGCCACAUCACGGUUCUUGUGUCGUUUUUGACUGUCAUUUUACAUGGAGAAACAGUGGAAUGAAAUUCUUUCGCUUUCCUACAUCCAAAUAUAGGCAGGAUCAAAGAAAAAAAUGGAUUAAUGCUAUUCGAAGACAAAAAAUAUAAAGGCCAUAAAAUUUGGAAAAGAACAAAGAAGAGUCCAAAUCAUUGGUUAAUGAUAUGUUUUAUAGGGACUAUAUCAUAUAUUUUAAUGAAAGAAAAAAAAUGAGUACUGAACACAAAGCACAAUUAUUACAACCAAAUUCAAGGCAACUUAUAAUUAAUAAAAAGGAAGGUGUGCCACCUAGUGAUCUGGAUGCCUUCAGAAUCGAUCAUAUAUGAUGUCGGUAUUGAAGAAUGCUGGGAACACAAUAUAAAAUUAUUAAAAACAUUUUAUUUGAAUAAAUAAGUAUAUACCAUUUUUAUGUGGAAAUAAAGCACUUUACAAUUA